rnacentral:lncRNA from 1 species
GGAGUAUUGAAAUACAUAUAAAUAUAUAAUACACAUAGUAUAGUUUAAUAAAUAUAAUGGCCACCAUUUGUUGAAUGCUUGCCAUGUGGAAGGCGCUAUAAAAUAUUUUCCAAAUCCCUAUAAAAUAUGACCUCAUCUUCAGAACUCGGCUGAGGCCAUGGAGUCAGGGGUGGCAAGCCAGGAUUUGAGCCUAGUCUGUCGGAAUCCUAAGCUUAGAGCUCUUACCUCCCACUCCUCCUCUUUUUGGUCAAGGGCACGUGGGGGCCGUACAUCAGUCCCCUCCCAGCCCAGGAGGGACUAUGGGACUAUGCCUCGGGCCUGCUGUAAGCGUGGAGCAAAGAAGCAAAGUCAGAUAAAGCCUGGAAAGAUAUUAGAAUUAGCAUCAGGCAUUUAAUAGAGAGAUUCUCAAUCUGUCUUUUUGAAGGUUUGAAUGUCUGCAUGUGGGGGACCCUGGAGAUCAGCAUGCUUGGGGGGUCCUGGCAGGCUCCAAACUACGCCCACACCCACCACCCCUUCCAGCGAGCACCCCUGAUGCUCCAGGCUGCCCUCUGCCCCAUCCAUCUCUGUGCCUAUGGAGGUAAGCACCAGGGAUAAAUGCUAUUGAAGGAAUAUUGUGGUGUCACUGGGAUCCAGGAGACUCUGGCUCUAGGGACGGUCCGCUUUCCAAUACUCACUAUGACCCUUCCCGUAGCCUCCAGUAUCUCCCAGUUGGAGGAAGAGGUGGAGUCAGCAGACCCGGAACCAUCAUUUCAGCAUAGUAAGGUCUCUCCUCACUUGCCUAAACACCGGAGGAGGCAGCCUUGGUAUUCCGUUUUCCAAGAUAUGAAGCUUGGUAUAUUAAUCAGAAUCCUUCGUGAGCAAGGGGCAGCAAUCAACUCAGACUUAGAAAGAGUCCAGAUGGGCUCAUUCCGGGGCUUCGCGUGCGCGUGGGGCCCAACCCAGGCCCUUGCGCGGGGUCGCAGUCGGGACGGCCCUGCCCCAGGUGUGGCUCGGAGGCUGCCGCUGGUAUUAAUGACUUUACCUUUGGGUUUGUGUCUGUAAGUGACAUCUGGUGUGGCAUCGGAGCUUGGGCCAGAGGUGCAGAGGUGUG